UCAUAGCCCUGAUUAAGCCGAUAUCUUGUUAUGGAGAGAUUGCUUUGCAAGCUCGCAAUAACAAGAUAAAGGCGAAAGCAGGAACACGG
rnacentral:misc_RNA from 1 species